UAGGGAAUCUUCGGCAAUGGGGGGAACCCUGACCGAGCAACGCCGCGUGAGUGAAGAAGGUUUUUGGAUCGUAAAGCUCUGUUGUUAAGGAAGAACGAGUGUGAGAAUGGAAAGUUCAUGCUGUGACGGUACUUAACCAGAAAGGGACGGCUAACUACGUGCCAGCAGCCGCGGUAAUACGUAGGUCCCGAGCGUUGUCCGGAUUUAUUGGGCGUAAAGCGAGCGCAGGCGGUUAGAAAAGUCUGAAGUGAAAGGCAGUGGCUCAACCAUUGUAGGCUUUGGAAACUGUUUAACUUGAGUGCAGAAGGGGAGAGUGGAAUUCCAUGUGUAGCGGUGAAAUGCGUAGAUAUAUGGAGGAACACCGGUGGCGAAAGCGGCUCUCUGGUCUGUAACUGACGCUGAGGCUCGAAAGCGUGGGGAGCGAACAGG
rnacentral:rRNA from 1 species